GCGGUAGCUCAGUGGUAGAGCACCUCAUUGGUAAUGAGGAGGUCGAGAGUUCAAUCCUCUCUCGCA
rnacentral:tRNA from 1 species